UCCUGACAGCCUUGUUAAGAGGUUGACACUAGCCACGACAGGAGACUCACAUG
rnacentral:ncRNA from 1 species